CCCUCGGCGCGCUGCGCGCUGCACCGCCGCCCUUCACCUGCCCGCCGCGGACUGGGGCGCGGGGGCGCCGCUUGUCCGCCUCCAGGCUCGGAAGGCACCGAGAAAAUGAUUGUAUUUACUCCUGAUGCUGGGAAUUUCAGAGAUUAGAGGAUUUGCCUAAGAAGUACAGUGGUCACAAGAGAAUAAUGCCUCCCAACAACUUGAGACUUGCAUACAGACUGCAGAUUUACUGCUGCAAUCUUUAAACUUGGAAGAGCUGACAACUUUUCUGGCUUCUCCGAAUCUGCAAAACUUUUAACAUGUGAAAAGGAAAGAAUAUGCAUUCCUGCUCCAUCCCCCUCUCUCCACAGCAGCAGAGGUGAGGACCAUUGCCUCUUGUUCUUUCUCCCAGGAUGGAAUUUUGCAUUUCUUUGUUAACUGGGCCUCCCGGCCCACGAUCUAUAAAGACUGCAGUUUGCCCAAAACACAGCAGAGACUCUUUGCAAGCACAUUGCAACUGCAACAUUUUGUUUCACAUCUGUGAUCCAUGUAUCUUCUGUCUGUUGUUCCCAGGUUUAAAUUUAUAUCUUGACUUUUAAGUAUCUAAGUUAGUAGCAUUUUUAUUUAAAAGAUACUGUUUUCUCUGGUAUUCACUACAAUUGGCUGUGCUUUAAGUAGGAUGGGAGUUUAGUCAGUUGUUAGUACAACUUGUUUUUCUUCUUUUUAUCCCUUUCACCCAGUGGAAGGUUUCCUGCUGCUCACUCCACUGAUAUUUGAUAUCCUGCCUCCAACUGAUGUUCAUCUUUAACUUACUUUUAAAGAACAUCGUGUCAACUAGCUCUGUUAAUUAUCACUCAUUUUGUCUUUUUUAUUGUAU